rnacentral:rRNA from 1 species
GUAGCAAUACCUAGUGGCGGACGGGUGAGUAACGCGUGGGAAUCUGCCUUUAGAUAGGGGAUAACGGGUCGAAAGACUCGCUAAUACCGCAUAUGACGAAAGUUGAAAGGAGUAAUCCGUCUAAAGAUGAGCCCGCGUCCGAUUAGCUAGUUGGUAGAGUAAAAGCCUACCAAGGCGACGAUCGGUAGCUGGUCUGAGAGGAUGAUCAGCCACAAUGGGACUGAGACACGGCCCAUACUCCUACGGGAGGCAGCAGUGGGGAAUUUUACGCAAUGGGCGAAAGCCUGACGUAGCGACACCGCGUGAGCGAAGAAGCCCCUUGGGGUGUAAAGCUCUGUCAGCUGGAACGAAAAAA